rnacentral:rRNA from 1 species
UGGGGAAUAUUGGACAAUGGGGGCAACCCUGAUCCAGCAAUACCGCGUGAGUGAAGAAGGCCUUCGGGUUGUAAAGCUCUUUUACCGGGGAAGAUAAUGACGGUACCCGGGGAAUAAGCACCGGCUAACUUCGUGCCAGCAGCCGCGGUAAUACGAAGGGUGCAAGCGUUAAUCGGAAUUACUGGGCGUAAAGCGCGCGUAGGUGGUUUGGUAAGAUGGAUGUGAAAUCCCCGGGCUCAACCUGGGAACUGCAUCCAUAACUGCCUGACUAGAGUACGGUAGAGGGUGGUGGAAUUUCCUGUGUAGCGGUGAAAUGCGUAGAUAUAGGAAGGAACACCAGUGGCGAAGGCGACCACCUGGACUGAUACUGACACUGAGGUGCGAAAGCGUGGGGAGCAAACA